rnacentral:rRNA from 1 species
UACGGGGGGGGGCAAGCGUUGUUCGGAAUUACUGGGCGUAAAGGGCUCGUAGGCGGCCAACUAAGUCAGACGUGAAAUCCCUCGGCUUAACCGGGGAACUGCGUCUGAUACUGGAUGGCUAGAGGUUGGGAGAGGGAUGCGGAAUUCCAGGUGUAGCGGUGAAAUGCGUAGAUAUCUGGAGGAACACCGGUGGCGAAGGCGGCAUCCUGGACCGGUAUUGACGCUGAGGAGCGAAAGCCAGGGGAGCAAACGGG